CCGACCCUCCUGCGGGCUGUCGUGAAGUUCAUCACGUGGACGAUGACUUCAAAAGAUUGGCAGAAAACCAAGUAGUAUGUUGGGUGCGAGCCGGGCAAGAGUAGUUCAGCCUUUCUUAUUCACACGUGGCGAUUAUUUCUUUUAAAUAAAGUGCGAUUUUUAUCGAGUGACUUACAGCAGGAGGGAAGAUUUCACGGAAGUGUAAAUGUGAAAUAAGAAGCCGGCAGUUUUGGGGCACCGUUCAUGUGCCAGGAUGAGUUGCAACAAGAGCUGUAACCUACGCUCAUGGCACAUCCAAGACUAUUCAUCGGCAAUGGAAAGUGACUUGAUAAGUUGACAAUGACUUCCUAGAAUUGGUGCACAAGAGGACCAAUGCAAUGGAGUCUUUGAAGUGGUUCAAGCCUGCCACACGCCAAGGUUGGAAAUGCAGAGAACUCUUAUGCCAUCUGAAGAUGGCAUCAUCCUGACCCUUGCAAGCAAGAGUUCUUGAUGUAAAAUACUAUGCUGCAACAGGACUGAAAGGAAAUGUAGAGGGACACCUACCAUGAACACUGAGGAUGUGGGUAGUAGCAGAUCCCAAGAUGACAAUGGCCCAAGAGAUGUUUGAUGGAUGGUUAUUGAAGCAAAUUUGCAUUGUGGCAGUUGACAUAAAAAGCAGAAGUGAAGAAUAAGUGUGCCAGGUCUAUAUCCACAAGUGGUUAUGUAUGAAGAGAUUGGCUGUUACAAGAUGUAUUAACCUGGAAUAAUGGUAAACCAUGCAGUAUGAUUGCCCCCAAGUCAGUUGGAUAAGACUAUUCAUAUGAAAAAGUAUAACACAACACAACCAGAACAAAAUAUUACCAAUAACCCAAGGUUCUUUAUCCCAAUAACCAUUAAAGGCCUGGCCACACAGGUGCACAAGAUCGGUAGACACCAGCAGUGAACUGUUCAGGUGUCGUCACGGGCGAGAAAAUGAAUUUAGCUGUUUCCGCCAGUCAUUCCUGCCUAUAUGGACAGGCCUUAAAUUGACCUGUUACGGUUCUUAAAUGGUGAAGCUGCAUUCUUUGGUUACUUUGCCUUCUAAGGUUGUAAAUAAAAGUGAACUUGACCCUAAAAAGGA